AGUGAACGCUGGCGGUAGGCCUAACACAUGCCAGUCGAACGGCAGCACAGUAAGAGCUUGCUCUUACGGGUGGCGAGUGGCGGACGGGUGAGGAAUACAUCGGAAUCUACUUUUUCGUGGGGGAUAACGUAGGGAAACUUACGCUAAUACCGCAUACGACCUACGGGUGAAAGCAGGGGAUCUUCGGACCUUGCGCGAUUGAAUGAGCCGAUGUCGGAUUAGCUAGUUGGCGGGGUAAAGGCCCACCAAGGCGACGAUCCGUAGCUGGUCUGAGAGGAUGAUCAGCCACACUGGAACUGAGACACGGUCCAGACUCCUACGGGAGGCAGCAGUGGGGAAUAUUGGACAAUGGGCGCAAGCCUGAUCCAGCUAUACCGCGUGGGUGAAGAAGGCCUUCGGGUUGUAAAGCCCUUUUGUUGGGAAAGAAAAGCAGCAGGUUAAUACCCCGCUGUUCUGACGGUACCCAAAGAAUAAGCACCGGCUAACUUCGUG
rnacentral:rRNA from 1 species